AGUAAGUAGUAUAGUGGUAGUACGCGGGGUUUUGGACCCCGAAGGAUGGGUUCGAUGCCCAUUUUUCUA
rnacentral:tRNA from 1 species